rnacentral:lncRNA from 1 species
UUUUUUUUUUUUUUUUUCUCACAAUUCUCAUUGCAGAGUGUUUUCUUAUUGAGACUUGCUCUGGCCUUACUAGCAAUAGGUCUGCUCACAUUUAUGAGUUUGCAAAUCCUAUGAAAUGUGUCUUUUCUUAUUAAUAAACAUACAUGGUAAUCAGUCGUAUUAAAAAUUGGAGUAUCUGAAAAAAUGAGAUUUUUUAAGAUCAAUGUUCCAAUGACCACUCUACCUGGGUCAUCUAGAGUACUUCUCUCCCCUUAUGGGAUUUUUAGAAAUAACUUUUAUUUAUUGAAUGCUUCCCCUGUACAAGCAUUAUUUAAAGUAUUUUUCAUUCAAGAAUCAUUUAUAUCUUGUAAAUAACUGCAUGAGGUAGGGUCUGAUAUUACCUCAUUUUACAGAUGAGGAAACUGAGUUACAGAGGUUAAGUACAAUCAUUUGUCAAGUACCACACCCAGUAACUAACAGAGCCAGGAUCCGAACAGGGACAGCCUGGCUCCAUGCCUGUUUCCUAUUAACCAUGUUACACUACCUCUCCAGAGGUCAGGUCACACUGCAAUAGCUGUGUGUGUGUGUGUGUGUGUGUGUGUGUGUGUGUAAUAUGAUAUAGUUGAAAAAAGCAUAGAUUUUAAAGUCAACACAAGCUUAAUCCCAGCUCCUUCUCUAUAUGUUACUUGCUUUAAACGAAUUCUAAAUGACUUAAUUUUCUCACUUAUAAAAUGAAAACAGAAAUGACUACCUCACUGAGUUAAGGAAUUAAAUAGGAAAUGUACAGGAUCUAGGCAUGCAUGACUCCUAGCAGGUACCCAAUGUGUGUUAGCACCUUCUCUUCCCUCUGGUUCUGACCAGAUUAUUUAAUCUGGCUUAUCUGGUCAGUCCAUUCUCAUUAAUGUAAACCUUAAGACAAGAAGGGUUAGAGCACAUUAUGGAAAUUAUAUACAGUAUUUCCUUUCAGCCCGAUUCUUCGGCUUCCAGACUCUUAGGUGUUUCAUUACUGUCAGAAGCAUGAAAGCAAUCUUUGAAAACUGGAUCUUCACUGAGAAAAAGAUUUUCAAUAAGGAAACAGACUGACCAGCUUAUAAAAUUUUUGGCAUAUAUUUUUUAUUCCUUGUAUUUCUAUAGUCUCAAUAUCUUUAGCUGUUUGCCCUGGGCAUCUUCCUUUCUAGGACAUACGCUCAGGAUCACAAGAAUAACACAGCCCAUCACCUCCUUCAGUGUUUGUUCUUUUUUACAUUUGUUAAAAAUGUUAAGAGGUUUUGACUGGUGAGAAAGGCAAUGAUCCUUUUCAACCCAAGCUAAUUUAUAUUAUUUCUAGUUCAAAAGUUGUCUAAUGCAAAGGACUUGGGCAAAAGUGUCCAGGUUUAUCAAGAAAGAAUGUUUUCCAGUUCCAAAAUGAGAAGUGAAACCUAUCGUAGCCAGCAUGCUGAGAAUUCCACACUUGGCACAGGAUAGAACUGGUUCUGUUAGGGCGACGUCUGAGGAUCUGGAAGGUGUUCAGCUGCCCCAGCUCUUGGCCACAAUGGGGGGAUAUGUCAGGAGAGCUUCAAGGGACUGAACUCUGUGUGACUGACUAGGAACCUGUACUUAUUGCCUGUACAAUCACAAAUGGAAACUUUACUUUGGGAAAGUGUCAUAAGGAACAUUGAUGGCAAAUGUUUACUUCUUCUAGAAGGGACACUAUAUCUCACUUGUUUUAACGUGAGCUUAGCAUUGCAUAGCAAUGCUCUUAGUGUACUACCAACCGAAAAUCAUCACAGCCUUGAGACAAAUCCUAAACUUUCCAUGAUGUCAUAGAAUUGCAUAGGUGGAAAAUGCAUUAUCCCAGUCCCUGCCUCCUUCCACACAAUGAAUACUAAGUAUAUUUGGGGCGGAGUAUUGUCAAUGUGCUUCUGGAGUGUCUUCAAGAAAAUAUUCUCUACUAUUUGGUGACUCCAAAUUGAUCUUGCAUACUAUUCCAUUUUACAAUAGGUGAGUGAGUUGCAUCCAUAAGUAGAAAAAAAGGGCAUGGAAGGAAAGACAAGAACAUCUUUACUGAAGUAGCAAAAUGCAAAGAGCAUGGAUUUUAAAGCCACAGAAGGUGGUUCCAGCUCUCACUUGCUAGCUGUAUCACCUUAUGCAAGUAAUUUAACCUCUGAGCCUCAAUUUCUUCAUCUGUAAAAUGGGGGUAGUACUAGUCUUACAUAAAUUGGAUCGUAAAUAGUGCUAAAAUACGUAUCUAUUAUCACUGAGUAUCUUACUAUGUACAACAUUUGGUGCCAGCACUUCAUGUGCUAUAACUCAUUUAGUAUUCAAAACAACUCUAAGGAAUAGAUUUUAUUUCAGACUUGACUUUACAAUGAGGAUCUGAGGCACAAUAAUUGACACAGUAGCAGCCAUUACUAUUAAUAAUCACAGUGUCAUUAAUAGUGUUGGGAUUUAAAAGCAUUAAUAUCUAACAAUAAAAGCAAGUAAAACAAAAAGGAAUUUCUUCAUUUAAAAAUAUUAUAAAAGCAAGAUACACAUAUAGUAAAAAACUGAAUCGGGGUAAGAUAAAUCAUUCUUUAGAUUUAGACUUAAUUUCCUCCCCCUUUACCUCUUUUUCCAUCAUUAAAUCAUGAAAACCAUUUAUCAUAAUGAGGCUUAUGGACAAAAUAACUUUUUAAAAAGGUUAUUAGACAGUGAAAUUAUUAGCAAGUCCUAGUGAGAACAGAGAAAAUGGAUGCUAGAAAGUAUAAAGAAAAAAAUUUUCCAAAAUGCUCCCAAAUUAAAAAGUUUCCAAAUUGAAAGGGGCUAGCACAAUGAACAAGAAACCACCCACAUCAAGUGACAUCAUCAUGGAAAUUUAAGAUUAUCAGAAGGAAGCGAAGACCCUAAAAUCCUCUUAAAAAGACAAACAAGCAAACAAACUGCUUGAAAAGUGUCAGGUAUCAAAUAGCAUCAA